rnacentral:misc_RNA from 1 species
AACGCACCUUGCGCUCCUUGGUAUUCCGAGGAGCAUGCCUGUUUGAGUGUCAUUAAUAUAUAUAUCAACCCACUCUUGUUGAGCGGAUUGGAUGUGGAGGUUUUUGCUGGCCGCUUAAAAAGGUGGCCAGCUCCUCUGAAAUACAUUAGCGGGACAACCUGUCCAUUCAUUGGUGUGAUAACUAUCUACGCUAUUGAAUGUGAGGCAGUUCAGCUUUCUAACAGUCCUUGGACAGCUUAUCAUUUUAUGUGACCUCAAAUCAGGUAGGACUACCCGCUGAACUUAA